CGCUUCGGUUGAGCGGAAGCCCUGCUGCGGGUGAGCACGAGCCCUGCUUCGGUUGAGCGGGAGCCCUGCUGCGGGUGAGCACGAGCCCCGCUUCCAGUGAGCACGAGUCCUGCUUUGGUUGAGCUGGAGCCCUGCUUCUGAUGAUAAUCCAACAUUACCUGACUUAAGAAGAACCAGGAAUUCUGACCCAUUCUCCAAAGCAGAGUUUCUUCAAAAUUGCCUCUUCAUUGAUUGAGAUUUGCAGCUCAGCCUUUUCAAGAUCUUGGAUCUCCUUCUCAAGUCUGACAACAGAAAGAUGCACUUUUUACUGUUCAAGACAGUACAAACGUAGAGUUCCCAAAUAUGUCUUCUCCAUAUAUAAACUUUCCUUGGAAUAUUGCAUGUAAAUAUCCAGAUACCUUUUAAGAACAUAGCAUUACACUAAACAUCAGAUUUAGUACAUAGAAGGUACAUAACACAUGACUUUGAUUUAACAAUCUUCAAGUUAAAACAAACAUCUU